rnacentral:lncRNA from 1 species
AGGAAGCCGACACGCGUCCUCGUGCUGCGUCGUGCUCGGAGAGAGGGCGUGUCUGCAAGCUGCAGACGAACAGCUCCACUUAGAGAAGAGCUGAGGAUCCUGUCGUGCAAAAUGGAACUUUUCUAACUUUGCUAUCAAUUUUCUAAGGUCACUUUACUCUCACAGGCCAAUUACUCACAAAACUGUGGAACAUCUGUGACUCAUCCUCAUUGCAUGAGUCCUCUUAUCUUCCUUAAAGAUAAUCUGGCGUGCCCUAAAUGCCACAGUAUCUCGGGCUCUGCAAACUGUAUCUAUGAUUUAACAAGAAAUAUAUUAUUGAUUUAGAAAUGAUGUCCAUGUCCCGAGCCUGGGUGGCACCGUGUUUGUGCCGUCUUUCUCCUGGCGUCUGUUCUCAGAUGGGCCACAUCUGCAGGGCUGGAGCCAUCAGGCACCUGCUGAAAGCUUCUCGGGUUUCCUCCUGGGGAGGCCUUAAUAAUCUUGCUUGAUGUGUCAGCAGAGGUCCUUCUUCUAACACCAACCACAGACGCCACGCUACACAUUCACAAGGUCAGGAUGAGCCACGUCUUUGCAUUCCUUCAGCAGCCACACAUAAACCCAUUUUUUUUGUGCAUAUUUUAAUGAAAUGAAUUCCCUCGUGUGCAUCUUUUAAAAGGGCUGCGUUCUCUCUUGUUUAUGGAGUACUGCUGUGUGUUUAUGAUAAAAAAAAAUAAAACAUCAACUGCACGAAGCAACCGCUUUAAUGAGUAAAGACAAUGUGACUCGAUUAUUAAAAAUAUUUUGCCAUGCUCAUUUUUGUUCCUACUUCAAAGCAGUUCAUUACAUUUUGUUAAUUAAACCUAGAAUAAUUGAGCGCAGCUUCAAACGGCGGAUUUCUGGCGCUCAUUGAAAUAUGGAUUGGGCUUUGGAAGCCUCAUUUCUGAACAUCCAGACCCUGGAAUGCCCCAAACCAGCUCAGUCUCCUGCACCAUCAUGGAGACCCCUCUCUCCUGU